GGCUGAAGACCUUACCGGAUUAGCUGAGAGGUGGUGCAUGGCCGUCGUCAGUUCGUACUGUGAAGCAUCCUGUUAAGUCAGGCAACGACGCGAGACCCACGUCCACAGUUGCCAGCAUACCCUCCGGGGUGAUGGGUACACUGUGGAGACCGCCGCUGCUAAAGCGGAGGAAGGAAUGGGCAACGGUAGGUCAGUAUGCCCCGAAUCUCCCGGGCUACACGCGGGCUACAAUGGUUGGUACAAUGGGCAUCUACCCCGAAAGGGGAAGGAAAUCUCUUAAAGCCAAUCGUAGUUCGGAUUGAGGGCUGCAACUCGCCCUCAUGAAGCUGGAAUCCGUAGUAAUCGCGUUUCAACAGAACGCGGUGAAUACGUCCCUGCUCCUU
rnacentral:rRNA from 1 species